rnacentral:rRNA from 1 species
AAAGCGGGGGAUCGCAAGACCUCGCGCGAUUGGAGCGGCCGAUAUCAGAUUAGCUAGUUGGUGAGGUAAAGGCUCACCAAGGCGACGAUCUGUAGCUGGUCUGAGAGGACGACCAGCCACACUGGAACUGAGACACGGUCCAGACUCCUACGGGAGGCAGCAGUGGGGAAUUUUGGACAAUGGGCGCAAGCCUGAUCCAGCAAUGCCGCGUGCAGGAUGAAGGCCUUCGGGUUGUAAACUGCUUUUGUACGGAACGAAACGGCGAGCUCUAAUACAGUUUGCUAAUGACGGUACCGUAAGAAUAAGCACCGGCUAACUACGUGCCAGCAGCCGCGGUAAUACGUAGGGUGCGAGCGUUAAUCGGAAUUACUGGGCGUAAAGCGUGCGCAGGCGGUUAUGUAAGACAGAUGUGAAAUCCCCGGGCUCAACCUGGGACCUGCAUUUGUGACUGCAUAGCUAGAGUACGGUAGAGGGGGAUGGAAUUCCGCGUGUAGCAGUGAAAUGCGUAGAUAUGCGGAGGAACACCGAUGGCGAAGGCAAUCCCCUGGACCUGUACUGACGCUCAUGCACGAAAGCGUGGGGAGCAAACAGGAUUAGAUACCCUGGUAGUCCACGCCCUAAACGAUGUCAACUGGUUGUUGGGUCUUCACUGACUCAGUAACGAAGCUAACGCGUGAAGUUGACCGCCUGGGGAGUACGGCCGCAAGGU